rnacentral:rRNA from 1 species
GACGAACGCUGGCGGCGUGCCUAAUACAUGCAAGUAGAACGCACAGUUUAUACCGUAGCUUGCUACACCAUAGACUGUGAGUUGCGAACGGGUGAGUAACGCGUAGGUAACCUGCCUGGUAGCGGGUGAUAACUAUUGUAAACGAUAGCUAAUACCGCAUAAUAUUGAUUAUUGCAUGAUAAUUGAUUGAAAGAUGCUAUUGCAUCACUACCAGAUGGACCUGCGUUGUAUUAGCUAGUAGGUGAGGUAACGGCUCACCUAGGCGACGAUACAUAGCCGACCUGAGAGGGUGAUCGGCCACACUGGGACUGAGACACGGCCCAGACUCCUACGGGAGGCAGCAGUAGGGAAUCUUCGGCAAUGGACGAAAGUCUGACCGAGCAACGCCGCGUGAGUGAAGAAGGUUUUCGGAUCGUAAAGCUCUGUUGGAAGAGAAGAACGGGUGUGAGAGUGGAAAGUUCACACUGUGACGGUAUCUUACCAGAAAGGGACGGCUAACUACGUG